rnacentral:rRNA from 1 species
UGGGGAAUCUUGCGCAAUGGGCGAAAGCCUGACGCAGCAACGCCGCGUGCGGGAAGAAGGCCUUAGGGUUGUAAACCGCUUUCAGUAGGAACGAAAAUGACGGUACCUGCAGAAGAAGAUGCGGCCAACUACGUGCCAGCAGCCGCGGUGACACGUAGGCACCAAGCGUUGUCCGGAUUUAUUGGGCGUAAAGAGCUCGUAGGCGGUUGAGUAAGUCGGGUGUGAAAACUCUGGGCUUAACCCAGAGCCGCCACUCGAUACUGCUCUGACUUGAGUUCGGUAGGGGAGCAGGGAAUUCCUAGUGUAGCGGUGAAAUGCGCAGAUAUUAGGAGGAACACCGGUGGCGAAGGCGCUGCUCUGGGCCGAAACUGACGCUGAGGAGCGAAAGCGUGGGUAGCAAACAGG